GGUAAACAACCUCACCUGGUUGGCAAACAACCUCACCUGGUUGGCAUAAAAGUAUGUCAGAUUUAUAAUGUUUUCAGCAAACUGAACCAUGUCCUUGAAAAGCUGCUCUUGAACAGAGCAAAAAAAGCUUUGAUUAGUUUCUGCUAAGUAAAUAAACAAGGGAAAACCCAAGUUUUGUAACUUGUUGAAUCUGUGCACUUAACUUUCUGAAAAUGGAGAUAAAGUCUGUUCUACAAUAAGAGCUAUGUUUGAGACAGUGUAACUAAAGUACAAAUUUGGCUUCUUUCGUUUAGCUCUGUUCUUUCCCUUGCAGUCCUUUCUAUCCUUUGUCUUGUUUGCUCCUCCACCCAAGUAUGCCAUCACCCUGCAACUGUUCCCUGCAAUGCUUCUGACCAUCACAGCAACAACAAUGCAGAGAUGAAGGCUGGGGAAAUAAAGAGAGCACUUACGGUUGAAUCACGCUGAAGCUCAGGAAACUGAAAUCAAGAGGAUGUGAAGUUCACUCAUCACCUGGUGGCAUAAGGGAGGCCAUAAGGAGGCUGGGAGCAUUCAGAGCUCAGAACUGCUGCUCCUGUUUGCUCCAAGGAUGGAAGAUCCAAGAUGCUUCCUUGCACAGUAUCACCUUCCCAGUUCUGAAAAGAGUGGCUACUCUUUGACCUGGAGAGGCCACUCUGGAUGUGUAGAUGGAACUGCUCGUUACAGUGAUUUCCCAGACAGACCGGGCCCUUGCUGGGGAUGCAUACGGAUGAUCUUUGAAGUAAAACUUCUUCUCCAUUGUCAAUUAGACCCACUCUUCAGAAUGAUUUGGUGACUGUAAUACUGGUAGCACCUUGCUUAAUAUAUUUAUAGGCAUGCACACAGGUGAAAGUUUGUGAGUAUGUCCUUGUUUCACUCAUUGUAAUUCUGCAAUAACUUCAAAUAUAUCUAUAUUUGCUUUACUCUUGUUAUAGAUACAUAU